GGAGCCUCUGUGGUCGCAUCUAAGAAUGACAAUAAUGGAACAUAUGACACCAUCAACAUCGUUCCUUCUACUCCUAACACAAAUGAGCAGAAAGAUGAUGUGGUUUAUUCUGAGGUGACCGUUGUCAGUAAAAAACAACUGAAGAACAACAUUGUUCAGUCUGCUGGUGAUGUGACUUAUGCCGCCAUCAGAGGAGGAAAAACUGAACCUGAAGACGCCUGCAGAGAGCUUUAAUCCUCCCUGAACAAAACCACUCGCAAAUAAAACACAUCAUUUUACAAAUAAACCGACUCCACAACAACAUAAACACAAAAUAUG